GACAGAGGGGGCAAGCGUUGCUCGGAAUCACUGGGCGUAAAGGGCGCGUAGGCGGGAUGGCAAGUCAGUCGUGAAAUCUCUCGGCUCAACCGAGAAACGUCGGCUGAUACUGCCGUUCUUGAGGGAUGCAGAGGAGACUUGAAUUCCCGGUGUAGCGGUGAAAUGUGUAGAGAUCGGGAGGAACACCGGUGGCGAAGGCGGGUCUCUGGGCAUCUCCUGACGCUGAGGCGCGAAAGCGUGGGGAGCAAACGGG
rnacentral:rRNA from 1 species